GAACAGAAAGGGAUUGUGAAAUUCCAAGAAUAGAAUAGUUUAGUUAAGUCUAGUUUAGUUUUUGUGUUGAGUGCUUCCUCGUCGGCGGACGAUCUAGGAAGCACUUUUUAU
rfam:Bacteroides thetaiotaomicron VPI-5482, complete genome.